UAGUGAUUAACGCGAAGAACCUUACCCAGGCUUGAACAGCGAGUGACAUCCGGCGAAAGCCGGCUCCCGCAAGGGCACUCGUAGAGGUGCUGCAUGGCUGUCGUCAGCUCGUGUCGUGAGAUGUUGGGUUAAGUCCCGCAACGAGCGCAACCCUUGUCCUCUGUUGCCAUCAGGUUAUGCUGGGCACUCUGAGGAGACUGCCGGUGAUAAACCGGAGGAAGGUGGGGAUGACGUCAAGUCAGCAUGGCCUUUAUGUCUGGGGCUACACACGUGCUACAAUGGCCGGUACAAACCGUCGCGAUGCCGCAAGGUGGAGCUAAUCGGAGAAAGCCGGUCUCAGUUCGGAUUGCAGGCUGCAACUCGCCUGCAUGAAGUUGGAAUCGCUAGUAAUCGCGGAUCAGCACGCCGCGGUGAAUACGUUCCCGGGCCUUGUCACACCGAAUCGAAUUC
rnacentral:rRNA from 1 species